CACGUAGGGUGCGAGCGUUGUCCGGAAUUAUUGGGCGUAAAGAGCUCGUAGGCGGUGUGUCGCGUCGGCCGUGAAACCUGCAGCUUAACUGUGGGCGUGCGGUCGAUACGGGCAUCACUGGAGUUCGGCAGGGGAGACUGGAAGUUCCUGGUGUGAGCGGUGAAAUGCGCAGAUAUCGAGGAGGAACACCAGCGGCGAAGGCGGCGCUCGUGGGCCG
rnacentral:rRNA from 1 species